rnacentral:tRNA from 1 species
GGGAAGGUCUGUGGCUCAGCGGAAGAGCAUCUGCUUGGAAUGCAGAGAGUCCCAGGUUCGAUUCCCAGCAUUCCCA